rnacentral:lncRNA from 1 species
GCAGCCGGCCGGAGCCGCGCGGCUCGGAGGUGGGGUCUGAGCACUGCCCUCAGGCAGAGACGGGGACAUGGAUCGUGGUGUUACCCUGGAGAACCCCUAUGCCAGCGUGAACAUCCCACGGUCCCAGUUCCAGCAGAGCUUCAUCACUCGCUACCUGGAGGACGAGCCCGCAUCACCCACCGUCAUUGCCAACCCUGCCGUCGUGCCCGUGCACAGCACGGAGGAGCAGGCGGGCAGCUGGGACAAGCAGCCCGUUUCCACGGAGAGGUCCUGGUCCCGGCCUUACAAUCCCUAUGCCAGCAUGAAGAUGCCCAAUGGGGAAUCACCC